GGACCUUCAAAACCUUGGGUUUUGAGUUUCGCCUGAUAUGGGCGUUGAAGUUGGGAGCAAAGGAGAGGAGACGGCGAGGCUGGUGAGAAGAUGGUUGGAAAGAAAGAGAGAAAGAAGAAGAAGAAGAAGAAGAAGAAACGAUAGGGACAGGAAGUGGAAAGAGGGAAAAGAGAUGGUGCGGAAGAGGAAGUGGUGGCGUGGAGAGAUGAAAGUGAAGUGGGCAACAUUGUUGGUUGCUGUGUUCGUUCCACAGACGCACACAGAGAGCUUAG
rnacentral:misc_RNA from 1 species